rnacentral:rRNA from 1 species
UAGGGAAUCUUCGGCAAUGGACGAAAGUCUGACCGAGCAACGCCGCGUGAGUGAAGAAGGUUUUCGGAUCGUAAAACUCUGUUGUUAGAGAAGAACAAGGACGUUAGUAACUGAACGUCCCCUGACGGUAUCUAACCAGAAAGCCACGGCUAACUACGUGCCAGCAGCCGCGGUAAUACGUAGGUGGCAAGCGUUGUCCGGAUUUAUUGGGCGUAAAGCGAGCGCAGGCGGUUUCUUAAGUCUGAUGUGAAAGCCCCCGGCUCAACCGGGGAGGGUCAUUGGAAACUGGGAGACUUGAGUGCAGAAGAGGAGAGUGGAAUUCCAUGUGUAGCGGUGAAAUGCGUAGAUAUAUGGAGGAACACCUGUGGCGAAGGCGGCUCUCUGGUCUGUAACUGACGCUGAGGCUCGAAAGCGUGGGGAGCAAACAGG